ensembl:snoRNA
AGAAAAAGGAACACCGAAGCUGGCCUCACAGUGCUUCUAGUCUGGUUUAUAGCUUAUGGCCUAGUUUCAAACAAGG